AUGUGUGUGCCCAAGAAAAAAGGUGGGAUGGCUUUAGGGACAUGUAUACACUGUUUUAGUCUAGCUUUAUUGUCUAAACAAGCUUGAUGCUUGAUAGAUAACUCGGAGUCCCUAUAUGUUACAAUUCUCAUAGCUAAGUACUACGCUGAUAGUGAUUUGCUAAUUGUCCCAUUAAAGAAGAAGGCAUCUUACACUUGGCAAAGCAUCAUGGAGGGGGUG
rnacentral:rRNA from 1 species